UAACCCCCUAACCCCUUCCGCGUCGUUCCCUUCCUGCUUCUUGCUUCUUUGAUGUAUUGAAGGCAAUCUCGUUGAAGCAGAAGUGGGAUUUGAACGAUUUGCGGGUUCUUAAUUCGGAAUCUGUUGGGAACAGGUUCAGGUUUGGAACGUUUUAAAACUUCGAGUUCAGAAUUGGGUUUGGGAAAAAGAGCAAUUUUUCUGUGAAAUUCUCUGACCAGGUUGCGAGUUGGAGCAAGUUGAGGAGGAAGCCCAAAUUGGUGGAAGAGGAUUUAUAGGUCUGAUUCAUCAUGUUAGCUCCACGGCUGUUCUUGAUUCAAUCAAUUUGGAAGGUCCUUUUGAGUUGGUUGUUGAUGACACUCACAGAUUCUCACUAUCAUUGCCUGUAUGAUAUGAUUUCUCAUCUAAAUUUUAGUUUUUUAGUAGU